CACAGCCAAAACAUUGUCUCUUUUAAUUUAUUUUCAGCAUGUAUUUAUUUUAUUAUAUUAUACAAAAUAUCUAAAAGAUACAGUCUUCUUUUAACGCUUGCUGGUUUAAACAGAAAAGCCUUUUUUCAGAUUUAACAGAAUGGGAUGAGCUAACUAUAUUAAUUGCACUUUGUAAUUAAGUUUAUUUUCUGUUCUGAAGCUGAACCAUCUAAUAUUUACACAAAUAACUUGUUGGAUAUGUACUUAAUGUUAUUUAAUAUUCUUGAGUGAGCAGAUGGGUUUGUUGAUUGAGUAGUAGGUUGCCAUGGGAUAAUCAAAAGCUUACACUAAGUCAUGUAAUUUCCACAAAGGUGCUCCAAGUUAUGUGUUCUCAGCCCUCUCCGUCUGGUUGCAGCAGCUCAUGAAGACUAUCACAACAUUUAAGAUAAGGACAAACACACCUGAAAACGUGAAGCCUGCUGCCCUCCCCAGGGGGCGCUAUGUCAUUCUUAAUCCUCGUAACUCUGCAUUUAUUGACACAGGGAAAAAUAUGGCUGGUGGAUCCCCAAGGGACGGUGGGCUUGACAUUCGCUGGGAACACUGUUAAACCAAACAGCCUUAAUUGAAGGAGACGCUACAGUUGCUCCACUGUUUGACUUGGGGCAGAAUUUAUGCUGGCAGAAUUUUAACCGCUGGCAAAGGAGCCCUGAUUUAAAGAUCAGCAGACACUGAGCUUUCGUGUGCCAAAGAUGCACUUGGGAGCAUGUGCUUUAUUAAGAGCUGUUUUUUUAAAUGCACUGUAACAAGGUAAAAUAAUAAAGAACCCCCCCUGAAGGAGCUGUAGCUAACAUUUUAACAAAAUAACCAAUGAUAUUAAAUCAGGAGCACCAGAUAAACUACCAUUAUUGAUUUUUAGCAAUAUGGUGUUAGAAGGACAUUUAUACCUCUGACUCUAGAUUUAUAUAGAAAUCAGAAUUGAUGUGGUCUAGGUUUUUGUGAGGAAAACAAAUGACAUAUACCUGUAAUAUUUUCAGUUCAUAAAGCAUGUUCUUACUAUGAUCAGAUUGGUAGGUAAAAUAUGAAAAAUGUACACGUUCCUCAUGUGUUGAGUGGAACAGAGCCUGAAUUGGACAGUAACGUGGAAGAGUCAUGCCCAUAUCAUUAGAGAAGAUGUUCCUCAAGAAACCUGAGAGCACUUCAAGAACAUUUACAAACAAGAGGAGGCUUGUUCUUGAGGUGUGAAUGUGGUAAUCGACCCGUGGCAAUGAAAUGAUUAUUAUACAAUUUUAGUUUGAGGCUUCUAUUAAGAGAAUGUGGAGCCUUUUCUGCAUUGCAGCAAAAACAAGGGCAAAGAUGGGGAAAAAAACCUUCACAUCUUUCAUUUCCGCUUCCAUCAAUAAGAGCAAAACAGUAAGAUCCGUGCAAUGGGGCACAUCUUUUGCUCACUGUAAUGGAAAUAUUUCUAUCUAAAAGUAAAAUGAGAUCUUUGCUAUGAUUUUUAAUUAGCUAAUUUGCCAUGUGGAGUUCAUGGCUCUUAUGUUCCUGUGAAACUCUCAGUUGUUCACUUUGAUAACUCACUGUAGACUUUCUGUUACAUUGUGUCAGCUUGCUUUAGAUUCUUCUGAAUCGGCCUCUGAUUAAUCAGUCUAUGACGUAACUUCCAAAAAUGUAUUAAUGGAUCAAACAAUUCAGAGAACCAAAGUCAGAGACUGCAUUUUGCAUUGGAGUGGAUGCGGUGCAAUUUACAAAAACAGGGAGAUGAAUAAGUAUAACCCAUGAUUUUCUGCAAAUUAUCCUAGAUAUUUUUAGCAUAUAUUAUGUUUUUGCACUGCUUGCUAUUUUCUAAAAUUACUACUGGGCAGAUUUGACUUUUAUUUCCCUUUAAGACAACAACACAAACAAGUUUUAAAGUGUCACAUAAAUAUUUCAGAGAGUUUCCAUGUGUAUUCUAAAUCAUUUUUAUUUAGAUUUGGUAACACAAGGGUCUUAUUUUUCCUUUUUCAGCUAAGUGCCAUAAACUACAUACUGUAUGGCAAGAAACCUUUUUUAUGAACACAGUCAUGCGUGUUUAAAGUGAGAUGUGAAAAAAAGUAUUACAGUAUUUUUCGCCAGUUGAAAAAGUUGCCAGCACUCAGUAUCUGGGAGAGAGUUCCAAGCAUUAUAAAGCAGGUGUUGCCUUCAUACUCUGUGCUGCUCCCUGCUUAACUAUCAAUACGAGCUUCUGCAGUAAGUGCUUGAUUUUAUUGUUUAGUGCUGAGAUUAUUUUAUAGAGGAAUUAUUAAGUACUGGUUUUUACUUAAAGAGAAACUCAAAACAUGUCAGUUUUUUGGAAUGUCAGUUUUGCUGCAUCUGCAACGGUGCUAAAAAAUUUAGUUCCAAACCUCUAUGUGAGUAGUUAAUUGGUAUAGAACACCGUUGUCCAUAAACAAUUUCAUGUUGGUAUUUGCUGUUUUUAAUUUGGUGAAGGGGACUCUGGGCACAAGUUCUGGAAGAAGUAUCUGGGUUUUUUAACCUGGAAUGAGGUGAAAGUAAGAAUAAAAAAAAGAAACCAGAAAUGAAAGACAUUUUUGUUGUAUCUUUCUGAACUCCUUCUCUUUUCCUGGUCAGCUCCCUCUGCGGGCCUCUGUGAGUUUUCAGAUGUGCUGUUUUAUUUAAGUGUGUCUGGUUUAUUUAGCACGACCAGCAAGCCCAUUGAAUUUGGCCUCAGUCUGAGCAUUUGGUAGUGUGGGCUGAUUCUUUUGUGUUACAUGACUUUCAUGUUAGGAUAAUAAACUUGGAAAAGCACUACUGCUGAACACAAGCUCACUAGAAAAAAAUGGAAAAGGAAGAAACAAAAGCAAUAAUAAGAAAUGGAUGCAGAUCUGAAACUGUGGCUAGAUUAGAACAAGUCAGCUGGCGAAGGCUGAAUCAUAAGAGCAAUAAUGGUCAUCUUUAUUUCAUAAAGCGCCUUUCUUGGCAAACAUGUCUG
ensembl:lincRNA